GACGAACGCUGGCGGCGUGCUUAACACAUGCAAGUCGAACGGAAAGGCCCUGCUUUUGUGGGGUGCUCGAGUGGCGAACGGGUGAGUAACACGUGAGUAACCUGCCCUUGACUUUGGGAUAACUUCAGGAAACUGGGGCUAAUACCGGAUAGGAGCUCCUGCUGCAUGGUGGGGGUUGGAAAGUUUCGGCGGUUGGGGAUGGACUCGCGGCUUAUCAGCUUGUUGGUGGGGUAGUGGCUUACCAAGGCUUUGACGGGUAGCCGGCCUGGGAGGGUGACCGGCCACAUUGGGACUGAGAUACGGCCCAGACUCCUACGGGAGGCAGCGGUGGGGAAUAUUGCACAAUGGGCGGAAGCGUGAUGCAGCAACGCCGCGUGCGGGAGGACGGCCUUCGGGUUGUAAACCGCUUUCGCCUGUGACGAAGCGUGAGUGACGGUAAUGGGUAAAGAAGCACCGGCUAACUACGU
rnacentral:rRNA from 1 species